rnacentral:lncRNA from 1 species
UAUGGGGCCGCCACAAAGACAACAAUAACUAUUAUCUUGGUCGCAAUCACAAGAUGUACCAGUAUGCCCUUGUCCACAUUUAUAGCACCUUGGUUUAGAUCUGCAUGUAUCUUUAGUAUGUCCAUACCGGCAACAAUUGUAGCAUUGAAUUGAAGGAUAAAUGUAUAGUUCUACUUUGAGGGAAUUGAAACACAUAAAUACUCUUGUGGGAAGGACCUGACCAUCAAAAACAUGUCCACCGGUACACCACUUACGAGCCCCAUCCUGAUAAUGUUAAAAGAUGGAAUAAAAGCUUCAUAGCCUUUUUCCAAUAAGGCAUGAUGUUUUAAGAAAGAAUUUGCAGCUGAGUGACUUGUGAAUGCCAUUGAAAUUUUGUUGCGACCAAUACGCUUCAAACUGCCUUGUACUAUGUUUGGCACCUGGUUUUUAUGCAAAAAUCUGCCAAAGCAUAUUGGAUGCAAAUUAAGAUCCUGUGUUACCUCUCCUGUACUAGACCUAGCAACAUGAAUAAUAAAUGGUGAAGCAUCCAAUGCAGUAUAUUCUUUUCUAAUACUAUCAGAAAUAUUGGGAGGUAACUGGGAGGCCUGAGAUGGAAGAGCUUGUGUAUGCGGUGCUAUAAGAGGUGAUGGAUUUUCAGUGAUUUUUUCGUCACUGUCUUCACAACGACAUCCACUUCUACCUGAAUCUACAGCCAUUGCAUUUUUGCGUUUUUUUUUAUUACAUGUUUUGCACACCUUAUUUAAUCGUA